rnacentral:misc_RNA from 1 species
UGUUUGCUGCGCAUCAGGAUGUUUGGUGGACAUUCCAUUGUGGAUGGACCCUGGCUUCUUGCCCAACCGCUUAUGUUGGAAAUGCCCACCAGACUGGACCUCCCUGGAGACCAAACGCAGCCCAUCUUGGGAGCUGGCCAGUGCCACAUCCUCCCCCUCUUGCAGGGACCAGCUGAGUCAGUUGCUCCAUCUCGCACCUCUCAACACCUUCCUGUGUGGCACUGGACCACCUGUGGAAGCCCUGG